rnacentral:rRNA from 1 species
AGUGAACGCUGGCGGCGUGCCUAAUACAUGCAAGUCGAACGCUUCUUUCCUCCCGAGUGCUUGCACUCAAUUGGAAAGAGGAGUGGCGGACGGGUGAGUAACACGUGGGUAACCUACCCAUCAGAGGGGGAUAACACUUGGAAACAGGUGCUAAUACCGCAUAACAGUUUAUGCCGCAUGGCAUAAGAGUGAAAGGCGCUUUCGGGUGUCGCUGAUGGAUGGACCCGCGGUGCAUUAGCUAGUUGGUGAGGUAACGGCUCACCAAGGCCACGAUGAAUAGCCGACCUGAGAGGGUGAUCGGCCACACUGGGACUGAGACACGGCCCAGACUCCUACGGGAGGCAGCAGUAGGGAAUCUUCGGCAAUGGACGGAAGUCUGACCGAGCAACGCCGCGUGAGUGAAGAAGGUUUUCGGAUCGUAAAACUCUGUUGUUAGAGAAGAACAAGGACGUUAGUAACUGAACGUCCCCUGACGGUAUUUAACCAGAAAGCCACGGCUAACUACGUGCCAGCCGCCGCAGUAA